rnacentral:rRNA from 1 species
GGGCACGACACCGGAGAGGGAGCCUGAGAAACGGCUACCACAUCCAAGGAUGGCAGCAGGCGCGCAAAUUACCCAAUCCCGACACGGGGAGGUAGUGACAAUAAAUAACAAUACGGGGUUCUUUAGGAUCUCGUAAUUGGAAUGAGUACAAUUUAAAUCUCUUAACGAGGAACAAUUGGAGGGCAAGUCUGGUGCCAGCAGCCGCGGUAAUUCCAGCUCCAAUAGCGUAUAUUAAAGUUGUUGCAGUUAAAAAGCUCGUAGUUGAAUUUCGGGGUUAGUAGGUUGGUCAUGCCUCUGGUAUGUACUGGUCUCACCGAUUCCUCCUUCCUGAUGAACCGUAAUGCCAUUAAUUUGGUGUUGCGGGGAAUUUGGACUGUUACUUUGAAAAAAUUAGAGUGUUUAAAGCAAGCUAACGCUUGAGUACAUUAGCAUGGAAUAAUGAAAUAGGACGUUCGAUCCUAUUUUGUUGGUUUCUAGGAUUGACGUAAUGAUUAAUAGGGAUAGUUGGGGGCAUUAGUAUUCAAUUGUCAGAGGUGAAAUUCUUGGAUUUAUUGAAGACUAACUACUGCGAAAGCAUUUGCCAAGGAUGUUUUCAUUAAUCAAGAACGAAAGUUAGGGGAUCGAAGACGAUCAGAUACCGUCGUAGUCUUAACCAUAAACCAUGCCGACUAGGGAUCGGAUGAUGUUAAUUUUUUAAUGACUCAUUCGGCGCCUU